GAUGAACGCUAGCUACAGGCUUAACACAUGCAAGUCGAGGGGUAACGAGAGGAAAGCUUGCUUUCCUUGUCGACGACCGGCGCACGGGUGAGUAACGCGUAUCCAACCUGCCCCCAACUAGGGAAUAACCUUGCGAAAGUAAGACUAAUACCCUAUAAUUUCCUCAGAUGUCAUCUGACGAGGAAUAAAGAUUUAUCGGUUGUGGAUGGGGAUGCGUCUGAUUAGCUUGUUGGCGGGGUAACGGCCCACCAAGGCAACGGUCAGUAGGGGUUCUGAGAGGAAGGUCCCCCACAUUGGAACUGAGACACGGUCCAAACUCCUACGGGAGGCAGCAGUGAGGAAUAUUGGUCAAUGGGCGGAGGCCUGAACCAGCCAAGUAGCGUGCAGGAUGACGGCCCUAUGGGUUGUAAACUGCUUUUAUACAGGAAUAAAGUUAGCCUCGUGUGGUUAUUUGUAGGUACUGUAUGAAUAAGGACCGGCUAAUCCCGUGCCAGCCGCCGCUGUAA
rnacentral:rRNA from 1 species